AGUGCGGUACCACAAACGGUGCUACAAAGAAUAUACAAGAUUUCUGGUGGCUACAACAAGUGAUGAAAGGAUGCCAAAAGCCUGGGAGUAUGCCACUGUGUACACAGAAUUUUGUGACAAAAUAAUUCGGGCACAGUUGAUUAAAAAACAGGAAAUCUUCAGGAUGAAAAUGCUCUCUUCCCUGUUCCAGAAAAUGAUACAAGAACACCAUGGUCAUGGAAGUUACAGAUCAGAUCUUCUGAAGAAAAGACUGAGGCAAGACUUUCCCCAACUAAAUUUCUACAAGCCUCCGAGGAAAAACCUGAGUGAAAUUGUUUUU